UGGGGAAUAUUGGACAAUGGGCGAAAGCCUGAUCCAGCCAUGCCGCGUGUGUGAAGAAGGUCUUCGGAUUGUAAAGCACUUUAAGUUGGGAGGAAGGGCAGUAAGCGAAUACCUUGCUGUUUUGACGUUACCGACAGAAUAAGCACCGGCUAACUCUGUGCCAGCAGCCGCGGUAAUACAGAGGGUGCAAGCGUUAAUCGGAAUUACUGGGCGUAAAGCGCGCGUAGGUGGUUCGUUAAGUUGAAUGUGAAAGCCCCGGGCUCAACCUGGGAACUGCAUCCAAAACUGGCGAGCUAGAGUAGGGCAGAGGGUGGUGGAAUUUCCUGUGUAGCGGUGAAAUGCGUAGAUAUAGGAAGGAACACCAGUGGCGAAGGCGACCACCUGGGCUCAUACUGACAAUGAGGUGCGAAAGCGUGGGGAGCAAACAGG
rnacentral:rRNA from 1 species